ensembl:lncRNA
AAAGGAACCGCAGCCACAUCAGUCAAGUGCCAGAACUCAGCAAGGAAAACUGUGCUGCCUCUUUUAAAUGCCAGGCCNCAGUGGGNUGACCACAAAAACUACACAAAAAGACUAACACUGCACCUCUCCAGUGCCAGCACUAGAGGUGUGCAGAGGGUCCGGAUCCUUUCCCUGAAUGCUGAAGAUCUGCAGAACAGCAAACAUGGUGUGCCAACACUGUUGAAGGCCAACAGGUAGCCUUACCAGUGCCAGCCUUGGCCUGUCUUAAGUGCCAAAGCUCACCAACAAACCACCUGGCGCUUUUCUCCUGCUCCACGGCUCAAUAUGGAAAUUGAGCCCACCUGUCUGCGGAGAGACCAUGCCUACCUCUGGCAACGACCAUAAAUCAAUAACAAAUAGAAAGANGGCCAAUCUCUUACUAUUGGUGAUCUUCAAAAGCAGAUUAUGGACNUCUANAAAAGAAACAAGAGACAAAAGAAUUAACAGGAGUCACAAAGAAAUAUGGGACUCUAAAUCUUAGGUAAGAAGACUGAAGAAGCAAUUAUUGAAAUUAUACUGCUACGGUCACUACAGCAAUGCAUGUUCAUAUACUAUUGUAUCCUUCAUACAGACAUGUCUGUAGCUUUUAAAAUGUAACAUCUACGCUUUUGUCCUUUUAAGCACUCUGAAAUAUUUAUUGAGCAUUAAAACUUUCUAACAAGUAUGUACAUAUACAACUUACACAGAUUCUCUUGGGUUGCUGCCCCACGUCCAGCGAUGGCAGUGAGGUCAGAAGCGUACGCACUUCUGAGGAUGCACGUGCAGGCUCGCUGGACAGCCCAGGAAAGUCUGCAGGAAGAAGGACAAUUAAAUGCGUCAGGAGCAUCUAAUACGAAGAGGAGAAAUCCAAGGAGGCAUUUCCACUGCAUCUCAGUAUCUUAGCAGCCUGGAAUUCUGGACAGAAAGAGAGAAAGAAGACAGGAAAAGGGUGACCGGUGCUUCUUUUUUCUGAAAAAGUCAGAUUAAAAAGAUCACUGCGUAUACAUUGUAUUUCUACUUUGGUUGUCUUUUAUCUUUGCAACACUCCAACAAUAUAGUUCAAUUUCAGAAUUUUUAAUGGGUCCAUCUCCUUGGCAAGUAUUUCAGAAAUUUUACAGCCCAGACAGCUCUGGGUUAGGCCUUCAGUCUUUCCCAGUCUUCUCAUUAUAUGGCGCAAGUAUUUGAGCUUCAGCUUCAGGAUUUGUCCUUCUAGUGAGCAGCNAGGGUUGGUUUCCUUCAGCAUUCAAUGAAUAUAUACCUACUGUGAGGGCUGUAAAGCCAAAAUGGAGUCUUGUGAGGANGAUUAUGAGAGUUCAGAGCAAUAUACAGAGUGCAUUUCAGCUUAAGUAAAAAAAGUAGAUAGAAGAAUGUGCACAGCUAAGCAUGAAGNGCUGAGAACUAAUAGAUAAGAUGAAUUUAGUAGCAGAAGAAGUUAACCUUGAAGUCUUGAAGUAGAGAAAGCUCUCUGUUCUAGCUCGACUUGUUAUCAGCUUAUUUGUAUCCAGUUAGUGAUUUUACGCUUUCUUUGUAUUUUUGAAUGCAAUUGGUCAAGAGUAUGAAUAUGUAUGCCUGAAUCAUGCCUAUUAUAAUUUGCUCAUUUUGUAUUANCCUAUAUAAGCUUUGUUUUGAUAAUUGAAAGGUGCGACUCCAUUGUCUUUGAUUAAUGGCAAGGUUGCCCUAGUGCACUAG